GCAUAUCAAUAAGCGGAGGAAAAGAAACCAACAGGGAUUGCCCUAGUAACGGCGAGUGAAGCGGCAACAGCUCAAAUUUGAAAUCUGGCCCCCCCGGGCCCGAGUUGUAAUUUGCAGAGGAUGUUCUCUGGCGCGGUGCCUUCCGAGUUCCCUGGAAUGGGACGCCACAGAGGGUGAGAGCCCCGUACGGUCGGACUAACCAAGCCUGUGUGAGACUCCUUCGACGAGUCGAGUAGUUUGGGAAUGCUGCUCUAAAUGGGAGGUAAAUCUCUUCUAAAGCUAAAUACUGGCCAGAGACCGAUAGCGCACAAGUAGAGUGAUCGAAAGAUGAAAAGCACCUUGAAAAGGGGGUUAAACAGUACGUGAAAUUGUUGAAAGGGAAGCGCUCCUGACCAGAAACUUGGGCCGGGCGGCUCAGCAGGGGCUCGCCCCCUGUGUACUCCGUCCCGGUUCCGGGCCAGCAUCGGUUCUCGCUGGGGGACAAGAACGGUGGGAACGUGGCCCCCCCUCGGGGGGGUGUUAUAGCCCGCCGUAACGAUACCCUGGUGGGGACCGAGGAUUCCGCGCUUCGGCAAGGAUGCUGGCAUAAUGGUCAUCAGCGACCCGUCUUGAAACACGGACCAAGGAGUCGUCCAUUAGAGCGAGCGUUUGGGUGUCAAAACCCGUAGCGCGUAAUGAAAGUGAAAUUCUAGGUGAGAACCUCCUCGCGGGGGCGCAUCAUCGACCGAUCCUGAUGUUCUCGGACGGAUUUGAGUAAGAGUUUUAACGGACGGACCCGAAAGACAGUGAACUAUGCUUGUAUAGGGUGAAGCCAGAGGAAACUCUGGUGGAGGCUCGCAGCGGUUCUGACGUGCAAAUCGAUCGUCAAAUAUGAGCAUGGGGGCGAAAGACUAAUCGAACUGUCUAGUAGCUGGUUACCGCCGAAG
rnacentral:rRNA from 1 species